rnacentral:rRNA from 1 species
AUGGAGGCGGAUGUUAACAAAUCCCCUUUUGUGAGAACAUCCACAUGGGGCAAGCAUGACCCUAAGUCUGGACACAAAGGAAAAAAUGAUGGAUACAGUAAAAAUGGUGGUGAUGGGGACGAGAACCCUGUCGAUGAGAAAGAAGGAGAAAGCAUGGAAUCUAAGGAAUCAGAAGAUAACACACUGUUAAUUGAAACCAUGGUUGUGGAGGCAUAUAACAAAGAAAAAGCGCAGGCCUCUCAGGCAAUGCUAGGUGUUGAUGACACCAAGCAUAAUGUUGAUGAGAUUCAGGUGGUGGAACUUGAGGGAGAGGACCUUUCCAAGUUGGAGAAAUCAGAUUAUCUGGUACAGUUUCCUGCCUCCCCUUCUAAGGAUGUGGGAGAGGUGAUUCCUACCCCUCCCCUUUUAUCUGAAGAGGUUCAGAGGUUUAGCUUGAGGAACUUGCAGAAUAUGGAGGGAAGAAUGCAAGAGAGAGCUGUUGCCAUUUCCAAGAAGAGAAAUUUUGAAGGAAUGAUGAAGCAGGAUGACACGACUGCCAUGAGGGACGGCGCGAAGAUGCUGAAGGAAAAUGCGUCGAUGAUGAUGAGGAUUUGUGCUGCGAACCGUGAAGAGGCGACCUGUUGA